rnacentral:rRNA from 1 species
CGGAUUGCAGUCUGCAACUCGACUGCAUGAAGCCGGAAUCGCUAGUAAUCGCGGAUCAGAAUGCCGCGGUGAAUACGUUCCCGGGUCUUGUACACACCGCCCGUCACACCAUGGGAGUCGGAAAUGCCCGAAGCCGGUGGCCUAACCGAUAAGGGAGGAGCCGUCGAAGGCAGGUCUGAUGACUGGGGUGAAGUCGUAACAAGGUAUC